UACGUAGGGUGCAAGCGUUGUCCGGAAUUAUUGGGCGUAAAGAGCUCGUAGGCGGUCUGUCGCGUCGGCUGUGAAAACCCGGGGCUCAACCCCGGGCCUGCAGUCGAUACGGGCAGACUAGAGUGCGGUAGGGGAGACUGGAAUUCCUGGUGUAGCGGUGAAAUGCGCAGAUAUCAGGGAGGAACACCGGUGGCGAAGGCGGGUCUCUGGGCCGUAACUGACGCUGAGGAGCGAAAGCGUGGGGAGCGAACAGG
rnacentral:rRNA from 1 species